GCAGAGCGAUCCUACGGGAGGCAGCAGUGGGGAAUAUUGCACAAUGGGCGCAAGCCUGAUGCAGCCAUGCCGCGUGUAUGAAGAAGGACCUUCGGGUUGUAAAGACUUUCAGCAGUGAGGAAGUGGGUAUGUUAAUAGCAUAUUCAUUUGACGUUAGCUGCAGAAGAAGCACCGGCUAACUCCGUGCCAGCAGCCGCGGUAAUACGGAGGGUGCGAGCGUUAAUCGGAAUUACUGGGCGUAAAGCGCAUGCAGGUGGUUUGUUAAGUCAGAUGUGAAAAACCCGGGGCUCAACCUCGGAAUUGCAUUUGAAACUGGCAAACUAGAGUAUUGUAGAGGGGGUAGAAUUUCAGGUGUAGCGGUGAAAUGCGUAGAGAUCUGAAGGAAUACCGGUGGCGAAGGCGGCCCCCUGGACAGAUACUGACACUCAGAUGCGAAAGCGUGGGGAGCAAACAGGAUUAGAUACCCUGGUAG
rnacentral:rRNA from 1 species